rnacentral:rRNA from 1 species
CCCGGAGCGUAUGCGAUGCUACCUGCACGUCGCCGGUAGCCUCGACCCGGUGCGCCCGCGCUGCCGCCAGCACAUCACCGGUGGCCUGGACCCCGGCGCGCCCGGGCUGCCGCCUCCACGUUGCCGGUCGCCUCGACCCCGGCGCUAACCGCCCUGCCGCCUGCACAUCGCUGGUUAGCGUCGACCCCGGUGCACCCGCGCUGCUGCCUGCACAUCACCGGUCGCCAACGCAACUCCGCUGCUGCUUUGGUAUCACAAUGAGUCAGCACAGGUAUGGAAACUUGACAACAUUAGCUCGGGAAAGAUGCCACUCACAGUUGAAUAAGUCUGGACUGGUACACCAAGGUAUUGCUAGGCGGACCAUGCCAGAGAAAUCAAGUCAAAUAGCAGAUUUCAGCAGGAAAAGGGUUUCUCACAGGCCUGAUUUGCAAGAUGAGGAACUAUGGAAAAAGUACAAGUUAGCUGCAAAAGAUGGAAAUGAUGCGACAACUAGUACACCAAUCUUGUUUACUGCAAAUUGGGAUGCGGAUGACUCCGGAACUAGGAAUGAUGAAGUUGAUGCCAACAACGAUGGUGACAUGGGAAUGGUCCAAUAUUACUGACGCAGCUCGGAAACAUAUAUUUGAUGCAAUUAAGGACAAGUUUGAAAAUAUUGACAAGAACAUUGCAAUAGAUGUGUACAAAGAUGAGAUAUUAGACCAUGUCAAGAAACUUUGAAUCAACUGGCGUGGAGACUUGCACCGGCACUUUGUGAAACCCAACAAGACUAUGCAGGAGGCUAUGAAAAGGGUACCUAAAGAUAUUCCAAAGGAUGACUGGGAAUGGCUUGUCAAGGAGCAUUUCUUCAGCAAGGAUUUUUUUGGUAAAGUUCUCAUGUUGCCUGUUAAUUUUGAACCAUUUGUGUAGUUGACAAUAUGGUGCAAGAAGUAUCAGAAAUUAAGCGUAUCCUGUCUGGUAGAUCUCUAACUGAUAGUUCUCAUGAGGACUGAUGAUCCACCAGAAUAUAUAUAAGCAUAAGGAGGCAUUUUAAUCGCUGGUGAAGAAUGAUAUCCAUUCAAACAAGGAUGGUGUCCCUCUAUUGAAUACUAAUAAAUAAUUUCUUUUUUAGUUGUCUCGUUUUCCACAUAGAUAUGAUCAAGUACAUUCGUGAUAUAAGGAGUGCUUUUCACUCAAAUUUCUUACAAGAUAUUUUAAUUUCAGAAUUGUAUGUCAGAAUAUUAGUAUUUGUAUUAAUAAAAGAGGCUAUGAUCCUUU